CUUCGUCAUAUAUCAAUUUGCGCUUGUUUGUCAUUCACCAAAACCUACACAUAAGAACACACAUUUUAGUAUAAGGCCUUGAGAACGUGUUUCCAACAUAUUCGACUUCCCAAAUGAAGUCUGUGAAUCAGAAAUUCUAAGUAAGGAAUUUUGUUGACCCGAGGGAAGGUGUUAGGCACCCAAUGAAACAGUAACAACCAAUCCAGUAGUAACCCAGGCAGAAACAGAAGGGAACCAGAAACAAAAACUUUUAUGGUUUUCAAACACUCAAGGAAGAAGAAGCUUGAAGCUUCGAUGGAACAAGCAAACUAGCACUGAUUUUCACUAACAAAGAGACCUCACUUUUCAGUUUUUAACUCUCAAACUUACUGAACUUUUUAGAUUGAAAGACCAGUCAAUUUUUACUCUCUCACUUUUCAGCUUUUAACUCUCAAACUUACUGAACUUUUUAGAUUGAAAGACCAGUCAAUUUUUACUCUCGAAUUCUGACUCUCCAAG
rnacentral:lncRNA from 1 species